AUUCCUACGGGACGCAGCAAUGGGGGAUAUUGCACAAUGGGGGAAACCCUGAUGCAGCGACGCCGCGUGGGUGAAGAAGCGCCUCGGCGCGUAAAGCCCUGUCAGCAGGGAAGAAAAUGACGGUACCUGAAGAAGAAGCCCCGGCUAACUACGUGCCAGCAGCCGCGGUAAUACGUAGGGGGCAAGCGUUAUCCGGAUUUACUGGUUGUAAAGGGGGCGCAGACGGCGAUGCAAGCCAGGAGUGAAACACCGGGGCUCAACCCCGGGACUGCUCUUGGAACUGCGUGGCUAGAGUGCAGGAGGGG
rnacentral:rRNA from 1 species